rnacentral:tRNA from 1 species
GUGUGAUUAGCUCAGUUUGGUAGAGCGUCCGAAAUUUUCGGUUGGACGUAGGUUCAAAUCCUACAUCAUACCCCA